rnacentral:rRNA from 1 species
CCUACGGGGGGCAGCAGUGAGGAAUAGUGGUCAAUGGACGCAAGUCUGAACCAGCCAUGCCGCGUGCAGGAAGACGGCUCUAUGAGUUGUAAACUGCUUUUGUACGAGGGUAAACGCAGAUACGCGUAUCUGUCUGAAAGUAUCGUACGAAUAAGGAUCGGCUAACUCCGUGCCAGCAGCCGCGGUAAGACGGAGGAUUCAAGCGUUAUCCGGAUUUAUGGGGUUGAAAGGGUGCGUAGGCGGUCGGAUAAGUUAGAGGUGAAAUCCCGAGGCUCCACUUCGGAAUUGCCUCUGAUACUGUUCGGCUAGAGCGUAGUUGCGGUAGGCGGACUGUCUGGUGUAGCGGUGCACUGCUUAGAGUUCAUCC